rnacentral:lncRNA from 1 species
AGGGAUCCUACUUUUUUGUGAGUGGAAAACUUACCAAAAUAGACUAGAUAUAUUUUAUAAGAACUAACGAAAAUGACAAAUUGAAUAUAUUUUACGAGGACAGAGGGUGUGGUAUUUUUUCUUUUUAUUUCACUUUUCUCUAUCUUUUUUUUUGGUUUUAUUUCUUUUUAAAAUUAUGAAAUUCGACUAAUUAUAAAAUAUUUAAUAUGCAUAUCAAAUUAAAGAUCACAACGAUAUAUUUUAUGUAAAUGUUUGAUUUAAAAUAUAAAAAUUAUGUUUAUUUAAAGAUUAAAUUUUAAAAUAUUCCCUAUCCUCUCUAAUCUUUUUU